GAAAUGCGAUAAGUAGUGUGAAUUGCAGAAUUCAGUGAAUCAUCGAAUCUUUGAACGCACAUUGCGCCCCUCGGUAUUCCGUGGGGCAUGCCUGUUCGAGCGUCAUCUACACCCUCAAGCUCUGCUUGGUGUUGGGCGCCUGUCCCGCCUCCUUCGCGCGCGGACUCGCCCCAAAUCCAUUGGCGGCGGCCCUUGCCUCCCUCUCGCGCAGCACAUUGCGCUUCUCGAGGCGCGGCGGACCGCGUCCAGCAAGCAACCGUCACACCGUCUUUGACCUCGGAUCAGGUAGGGAUACCCGCUGAACUUAAGC
rnacentral:misc_RNA from 1 species